AGAGUUUGAUCCUGGCUCAGAUUGAACGCUGGCGGCAGGCCUAACACAUGCAAGUCGAACGGUAACAGGAAGCAGCUUGCUGCUUUGCUGACGAGUGGCGGACGGGUGAGUAAUGUCUGGGAAACUGCCUGAUGGAGGGGGAUAACUACUGGAAACGGUAGCUAAUACCGCAUAACGUCGCAAGACCAAAGAGGGGGACCUUCGGGCCUCUUGCCAUCGGAUGUGCCCAGAUGGGAUUAGCUAGUAGGUGGGGUAACGGCUCACCUAGGCGACGAUCCCUAGCUGGUCUGAGAGGAUGACCAGCCACACUGGAACUGAGACACGGUCCAGACUCCUACGGGAGGCAGCAGUGGGGAAUAUUGCACARUGGGCGCAAGCCUGAUGCAGCCAUGCCGCGUGUAUGAAGAAGGCCUUCGGGUUGUAAAGUACUUUCAGCGGGGAGGAAGGUGUUGAGGUUAAUAACCUCAGCAAUUGACGUUACCCGCAGAAGAAGCACCGGCUAACUCCGUGCCAGCAGCCGCGGUAAU
rnacentral:rRNA from 1 species